AGCGAACGCUGGCGGCAGGCCUAACACAUGCAAGUCGAACGAACUCUUCGGAGUUAGUGGCGGACGGGUGAGGAACACGUGGGAACGUGCCUUUUGGUUCGGAAUAACUCAGGGAAACUUGUGCUAAUACCGAAUGUGCCCUUCGGGGGAAAGAUUUAUCGCCAUUAGAGCGGCCCGCGUCUGAUUAGCUAGUUGGUGAGGUAACGGCUGACCAAGGCGACGAUCAGUAGCUGGUCUGAGAGGAUGCCCAGCCACACUGGGACUGAGACCCGGCCCAGACGCCUACGGGAGGCAGCAGUGGGGAAUCUUGCGCACUGGGCGAAAGCCUGACGCAGCCAUGCCGCGUAAAUGAUGAAGGUCUUAGGAUUGUAAAAUUCUUUCACCGGGGACGAUAAUGACGGUACCCGGAGAAGAAGCCCCGGCUAACUUCGUG
rnacentral:rRNA from 1 species